CUAUGGGAGCAGCCGGUUUGGUGUUCGUCCUCAGACUGUUCAAGAAGUGGGGCUUUGUUUGUUUUCAGCUGACAGGAAGUCAGAGCUUAAGUUGUCAGCUGUUGCAGAAUCAGUCUGAAAGAUAUCAGAGCAAAAGCGAAACCCCACCUCAUACCCUGCUUUGUGAAUUCUAUAUAACACCUGCAUAAUUUCCACAAGUAAAUCAGAGAACUGCCAACAUUUCUGCUGUGAAGACUGACAUGUGGUCUGGAAUCCUACACCCUUUUUUAUAACCUAUUUCUGGUAUGCUAACACCAAAAGCCACUUUGCC